CUACGGCCAUACCACGUUGAAAAUACCGGUUCUCGUCCGAUCACCUAAGUCAAGCAACGUUGGCUUGGAUGACCGCUUGGGAACACGACGUGUUGU